rnacentral:rRNA from 1 species
AGAGUUUGAUCAUGGCUCAGAUUGAACGCUGGCGGCAGGCCUAACACAUGCAAGUCGAGCGGUAGCACAGAGAGCUUGCUCUCGGGUGACGAGCGGCGGACGGGUGAGUAAUGUCUGGGAAACUGCCUGAUGGAGGGGGAUAACUACUGGAAACGGUAGCUAAUACCGCAUAACGUCGCAAGACCAAAGUGGGGGACCUUCGGGCCUCAUGCCAUCAGAUGUGCCCAGAUGGGAUUAGCUAGUAGGUGGGGUAACGGCUCACCUAGGCGACGAUCCCUAGCUGGUCUGAGAGGAUGACCAGCCACACUGGAACUGAGACACGGUCCAGACUCCUACGGAAGGCAGCAGUGGGGAAUAUUGCACAAUGGGCGCAAGCCUGAUGCAGCCAUGCCGCGUGUGUGAAGAAGGCCUUCGGGUUGUAAAGCACUUUCAGCGGGGAGGAAGGCGUUAAGGUUAAUAACCUUGGCGAUUGACGUUACCCGCAGAAGAAGCACCGGCUAACUCCGUGCCAGCAGCCGCGGUAAUACGGAGGGUGCAAGCGUUAAUCGGAAUUACUGGGCGUAAAGCGCACGCAGGCGGUCUGUCAAGUCGGAUGUGAAAUCCCCGGGCUCAACCUGGGAACUGCAUUCGAAACUGGCAGGCUAGAGUCUUGUAGAGGGGGGUAGAAUUCCAGGUGUAGCGGUGAAAUGCGUAGAGAUCUGGAGGAAUACCGGUGGCGAAGGCGGCCCCCUGGACAAAGACUGACGCUCAGGUGCGAAAGCGUGGGGAGCAAACAGGAUUAGAUACCCUGGUAGUCCACGCCGUAAACGAUGUCGAUUUGGAGGUUGUGCCCUUGAGGCGUGGCUUCCGGAGCUAACGCGUUAAAUCGACCGCCUGGGGAGUACGGCCGCAAGGUUAAAACUCAAAUGAAUUGACGGGGGCCCGCACAAGCGGUGGAGCAUGUGGUUUAAUUCGAUGCAACGCGAAGAACCUUACCUGGUCUUGACAUCCACAGAACUUUCCAGAGAUGGAUUGGUGCCUUCGGGAACUGUGAGACAGGUGCUGCAUGGCUGUCGUCAGCUCGUGUUGUGAAAUGUUGGGUUAAGUCCCGCAACGAGCGCAACCCUUAUCCUUUGUUGCCAGCGGUUCGGCCGGGAACUCAAAGGAGACUGCCAGUGAUAAACUGGAGGAAGGUGGGGAUGACGUCAAGUCAUCAUGGCCCUUACGACCAGGGCUACACACGUGCUACAAUGGCAUAUACAAAGAGAAGCGACCUCGCGAGAGCAAGCGGACCUCAUAAAGUAUGUCGUAGUCCGGAUUGGAGUCUGCAACUCGACUCCAUGAAGUCGGAAUCGCUAGUAAUCGUAGAUCAGAAUGCUACGGUGAAUACGUUCCCGGGCCUUGUACACACCGCCCGUCACACCAUGGGAGUGGGUUGCAAAAGAAGUAGGUAGCUUAACCUUCGGGAGGGCGCUUACCACUUUGUGAUUCAUGACUGGGGUGAAGUCGUAACAAGGUAACCGUAGGGGAACCUGCGGUUGGAUCACCU